rnacentral:rRNA from 1 species
CCUACGGGUGGCAGCAGUGAGGAAUAUUGGUCAAUGGACGAGAGUCUGAACCAGCCAAGUAGCGUGAAGGAUGACUGCCCUAUGGGUUGUAAACUUCUUUUAUAAAGGAAUAAAACGAGGCACGUGUGCCUUUUUGCAUGUACUUUAUGAAUAAGGAUCGGCUAACUCCGUGCCAGCAGCCGCGGUAAUACGGAGGAUCCGAGCGUUAUCCGGAUUUAUUGGGUUUAAAGGGAGCGUAGAUGGGUUGUUAAGUCAGUUGUGAAAGUUUGGGGCUCAACCGUAAAAUUGCAAUUGAUACUGGCAGUCUUGAGUACAGGUGAGGUAGGCGGAAUUCGUGGUGUAGCGGUGAAAUGCUUAGAUAUCACGAAGAACCCCGAUUGCGAAGGCAGCUUACUAGACUGAGACUGACAUUGAUGCUCGAAAGUGUGGGUAUCGAACAGGAUUAGAUACCCCGGUAGUC